AGCACACCUGGGUUCAUUUGAGCAGAGUCAAGAAUGUUCCAUGUUUUCUAGUUGCAGAAAACCCACCAGUGAUGGAAGAGGGGAUUUAUUUUUUCUUGUUCUUCUGUGUUCUGAUUUGUGUUUUGCUAGUUAAUUCCUGGAGACUUCUGGGAUCUAUUGCUGAACACGCCCUCCAAUUUUCUGUAUUUAAGACAUACGCCAUUCAUAGCUCUUAAUUGUGUGAAGAAGAAAACCAGUAUGGUGGUGAAUAGUGUUGAACCGGGAUCUGGAAGACCUGCAUUCGAAUCCCUGCUUGGCUAUGAGGCUUGCUGGGUGCCCUUGGGCUGCUCACACUCUUUCAACUCAACCUAACCCACAGGGAUGUUGUGAGGAUACAGUGGGGAAGAGAGAAUUGUGUUCACCACUCUGAGCUCCUUGGAGGAACCUAUGCGGAAGAGUCCGGCUCUGCAGUUGGCUUUUAAGGGAAAAAAUAAUCGCCGCAAAUCAGGUCUGAGCAAGUGACAGAAAAUGCUGGAAUGCAGUAGGUCGAUCGGGACAUUAUCUAGAUUGCCUGUAAAAAUGAGUGAAUGAAACAUGGCAAUUCCCAGAGAAAACAUCUAGCAUUGAACUGGAUAUUGACUGCUGCAGCACUCUGAAAAACAGCCCAUGUAUUAAGCCAGAAACUCCCAUGUAGCUGACUAUUCUCUGAGAGUAUGAAUGUCCACAACCUAGAAAGUCUAUGGAAAACAAAAAGCUGGAAAGAGGAGGUCCGACUGGUCUCGGCAGCUCCUCUCGUCGCCACAAAAGAAAGGACCGCAGCUGCUGUUCAACCCCUGCUGUAUGACAGACUGGUGCAUCUAUUCCAACCGGGAGAUUGGGUGCUCGUGAAGUCGUGGAAAAAGGAGCCGCUGAUGCCCCAGUGGAAAGAACCAGUCCAGGUGCUGCUCACCUCUGACAGUGCGGUUAAAACGACCGCAGCUGAUGGCUGGAUUCAUCACACCAGAGUGUAACCUGCAAACCCACCAGGCGAUACAGAGGACUCAGCAGGAGACAACCCUCGAGACACCACAACAGCGGCAGCAGACAGCAGUGGCCCUCAAGCACGUGAACCAUCACAAGAACCUCCAGCAGCAGUAAUGCCACCACCAGAGAGGGAUUGGAGGACAAUCCUGUGCCUCCGACCCUGUACAGCAAGGACCUGACUCCACCCCAGGGGAACCAAACUCACAAGGAAAAAAUAUAUCCUGAAUGACCCAACAAGGGGCCAGCUAGUUUUAUGCUCGUUUCAUGCACUGACUUCUUCAGGGGUCAUACACCUGAUUCACCACACAACAUGAACACUUGUAUUUUCUCGUGUGUCUAUGUGUCAGUGCACCGCAAAUCUUGGCCAUGCUAUACUGACUGGCAGUUGCUGUCCAGGAUUAUCCCUACCAGAUCAUUCCUUUAAUCAUCCGUACUGGAGUUCUUUGAUGUAUACGGUCUUAUGCAAUAACUAUAAAUAACAAAAAUAUUUAUGAUAUAUGUAUUAUUCAGCAUGAGCACUUUAUUGUAACUUAAUCGUCAGGCAUAUUACAAUUAGAACUGGCAACCUAGUGCAAUAAUUAUGUUCAUCUGUUGAGUAUACUGUUGGCACAAGCACUUUAAGAAAGAAAGUAAUGUAAGGAAACAUUAUUCUGCUAUCAUUACUAAGAGUAUACAAUCUGAAUGUGUUAUAUGAUUCAAAAAAGGACUGUUCUGUGAUAGCCAA